rnacentral:lncRNA from 1 species
AUGGGGGAGGAGGGAGCUGAGGAUGAGUGGAACAGGGGGGCUCUUGGCAUCCUGGGGCUCCUCUUUGCUCAUGAAGAUGGAGACAGAGCUCAGACACGGUUUGCAUUCGUCCCUGCUGUAGCUUCUAAUUUGCACAAGAACUGGCAGAUGGAUAAAGAUCUGAGAGGCAGUGGCUGCAAACCCAGGAGUCCCCUCCGGCCCAAGAGAGUGCUUCUGCCAGCCUCCUUUCUUCUCCUCCCUGCUCCCUGCUUGUGGACCAUGAACAGCCUCAUACAGACGUCCAUUUGUGAGUCUGCACCUCUUCCUACACCACCAGCUAUUUGAGGCUCUGUACUUUUAUCCCAAAAUGCUGCACAGGGCUCAGGCUACACCAGGACUUUCUUCUUGUUUGUGAAUAAAUCUAUUCUCUGCCAUGCCUCAGGAAGGGUAAGCUGCAAUCUUUGUAUUUUUCUAGAGAAGAAAGUAAAUCUUGAAAAUUCCAUAUAUUGUCCACCUGGUGGAUAUUUUCAUAGCCAACCUGUGGAGGCUCUGGGUUGGUCUCUGGACAGUAACUAAGAGAACUAGCUAGUGAGGUGUUCUCAGAGGUUCUCUUGGGGGAGCCUAGACCCAGCACGUUACCAUAAGUGUGUUAGUCAGAAGGAAGAAGGGAGACAGUUCUGCUUGGGUUGGUGUAGGCAUCAAUGUGAGGGUGUAACAUUUCUCCUCCUUAGGACAAACUGCAGAGGAUCGAGGUAGGAAGAUAGACAUUUCCUCAGUACUGCCUCAGCUGGCCUUUAUAACAUAGCAUAAUUAUUUGUUUUGAUCUUUCUUAUGCUUCUAGAAGAACAAAUAAAUUGUUUUUCACCAGAAAUCCUGAGAUACACUUCAGAGUCCAAU